AUGCGGGGUCUGACGCGGGCGGGAAAGCGCGCCAGUGAGAUGGCCUUCAACGCCGGCGGUGGAACCAUCAACUGGUUCCCUGGCCACAUGGCUGCCGCCUCACGCGCCAUCCNNNNNNNNNNNNNNGAUUACUUUCUUGCAACUGAUGAAACUUAUGAUCAGAUUCCGUUAUCCUCAGCAAACGAAGACCUUCAGCCGGUGCUUGCAGCUAAGAGGCGUAUCCUUGCUCUAAACAAGAAAGAUCUAGCGAAUCCCAAUAUAAUGAAUAUGUGGGUUGAUCAUUUUCAAUCAUGUAAGCAAGAUUGCAUCUCAUUAAAUGCACAUAGCAGCAACUCUAUUAAUCAGCUGCUUGGGCUUGUGGAGUUGAAACUAAGGGAAGCAAUCUUGAAAGAGCCCACACUUCUUGUUAUGGUAGUUGGAGUCCCCAAUGUUGGAAAGUCUGCACUCAUUAAUUCCAUUCAUAGAAUUGCCAAUUCUAGAUUUCCAGUGAACGAUAAGAUCAAGCGGGCUACAGUUGGACCUCUGCCUGGAGUUACACAAGACAUUGCAGGAUAUAAGAUUGCAAGCCAGCUGAGCAUUUACGUGCUUGAUACACCAGGUGUUCUAGUGCCAAGCAUUCCAGACAUGGAAACAGGUCUAAAGCUUGCUCUGACAGGAGCUGUCAAAGAUUUGGUGGUUGGAGAGGAGCGUAUAGCCAAAUAUUUAUUAUCUCUUCUUAAUAUUAGAAAAACUCCUCUACACUGGGGACGAUUGCUUCACAGAAGAGAAGAAUUUGAUGAAGAGCCAGAUGACAAUUGUGAAAAAGGGUCUAGUGGUUCACUGCGGAGGAGGCGGCAUUUUAACAAUUCUGAUGCCUUGUAUGUUCAGGACUUGGUGAUAGAGGUCCAGAGAACGCUGUGCAGUACAGCCAUGGAAUUCACAGGCAACCUCGAUGAAGAUAACGAGCUGGAAAGUCUAAUUGACUCACAGCUUGUUGCCCUUCGAAAGGUGUUCAGAAUACCCCACAAACCGCUUGAUGAAUCACAUGGCCCGGCAUCCAAGAAGUUAUUGACUCUUUUCAGAUCAGGGAAACUCGGCCCGUUCAUCCUCGACGACCUUCCUGACCAGCACUGA
rnacentral:rRNA from 1 species